rnacentral:rRNA from 1 species
UACGAGAGGGUGCAAGCGUUAAUCGGAAUUACUGGGCGUAAAGCGCGCGUAGGUGGUUUGUUAAGUUGGAUGUGAAAUCCCCGGGCUCAACCUGGGAACUGCAUUCAAAACUGACUGACUAGAGUAUGGUAGAGGGUGGUGGAAUUUCCUGUGUAGCGGUGAAAUGCGUAGAUAUAGGAAGGAACACCAGUGGCGAAGGCGACCACCUGGACUAAUACUGACACUGAGGUGCGAAAGCGUGGGGAGCAAAC